UACGUAGGGUGCAAGCGUUGUCCGGAAUUAUUGGGCGUAAAGAGCUCGUAGGCGGCUUGUCACGUCGGAUGUGAAAAUCCAGGGCUCAACCCUGGACCUGCAUUCGAUACGGGCAGGCUAGAAUUCGGUAGGGGAGACUGGAAUUCCUGGUGUAGCGGUGAAAUGCGCAGAUAUCAGGAGGAACACCGGUGGCGAAGGCGGCAUCCUGGACCAACACUGACGCUGAGGAGCGAAAGCCAGGGGAGCAAACGGG
rnacentral:rRNA from 1 species